rnacentral:rRNA from 2 species
CUGCGAGCGUGACGGCGCGAGCAGGUGCGAAAGCAGGUCAUAGUGAUCCGGUGGUUCUGAAUGGAAGGGCCAUCGCUCAACGGAUAAAAGGUACUCCGGGGAUAACAGGCUGAUACCGCCCAAGAGUUCAUAUCGACGGCGGUGUUUGGCACCUCGAUGUCGGCUCAUCACAUCCUGGGGCUGAAGUAGGUCCCAAGGGUAUGGCUGUUCGCCAUUUAAAGUGGUACGCGAGCUGGGUUUAGAACGUCGUGAGACAGUUCGGUCCCUAUCUGCCGUGGGCGCUGGAGAACUGAGGGGGGCUGCUCCUAGUACGAGAGGACCGGAGUGGACGCAUCACUGGUGUUCGGGUUGUCAUGCCAAUGGCACUGCCCGGUAGCUAAAUGCGGAAGAGAUAAGUGCUGAAAGCAUCUAAGCACGAAACUUGCCCCGAGAUGAGUUCUCCCUGACUCCUUGAGAGUCCUGAAGGAACGUUGAAGACGACGACGUUGAUAGGCCGGGUGUGUAAGCGCAGCGAUGCGU